AGCAGCCCGAGGGCCUCCCAAAUGUUUUACCCCCGUGACAUGUGAAAGUUUCCUGGAUUGAGCUUCACGAAAACUUUUUUUGGCUUGUUUCGUAAAUGGUCAUACCGAAGACAGCUCCUGCUGAGAUAAGGUCUAAACAUACCAGGCGGGAAGCUUGGUUUUAACGGAAGAACUCGCAAAUCGAUCAAACCGAUCAUGUCCGAUCCCUGCGCGCCUCUAAUUCAGUCUACUGCAGCGGCUGAAGGUCUAAGUCGAGUUACUGACUUACACUACAGGUAAAAAAGGAUUCACUCAUGAGCAGUUUUAUAUAGAGAGCACUCCAGGCGAAGAGGCCAGUGGUGUCACCGCACCUGUACCUCCCUUCCCCAUCAACAGCGG